AGCUCCAAUAGCGUAUAUUAAAGUUGUUGCGGUUAAAAAGCUCGUAGUUGGAUCUCGGCGGGCAGGGGGCGGUGCGUUCUUCGACGCGACUGCCCCAGUUGCCCGUGAUUUGUGGCGGAGGUUCCGGGGUGCUCUUAGCCGAGUGUCCCGGGGCGCCGCCAGGUUUACUUUGAAAAAAUUAGAGUGCUCAAAGCAGGCUUUACACGCUUGAAUAUUCGUGCAUGGAAUAAUAGAAUAGGACGUCGUUUCUAUUUUGUUGGUUUUCGGAAAUCGACGUAAUGAUUAAUAGGGACAGUCGGGGGCAUUAGUAUUCAGACGACAGAGGUGAAAUUCUUGGACCGUCUGAAGACUAACUACUGCGAAAGCAUUUGCCAAGAAUGUUUUCA
rnacentral:rRNA from 1 species